rnacentral:rRNA from 1 species
ACUCCUACGGGAGGCAGCAGUGGGGAAUAUUGCACAAUGGGCGCAAGCCUGAUGCAGCCAUGCCGCGUGUGUGAAGAAGGCCUUCGGGUUGUAAAGCACUUUCAGUCGUGAGGAAGGUAGUGUAGUUAAUAGCUGCAUUAUUUGUACGUUAGCGACAGAAGAAGCACCGGCUAACUCCGUGCCAGCAGCCGCGGUAAUACGGAGGGUGCGAGCGUUAAUCGGAAUUACUGGGCGUAAAGCGCAUGCAGGUGGUUUGUUAAGUCAGAUGUGAAAGCCCGGGGCUCAACCUCGGAAUAGCAUUUGAAACUGGCAGACUAGAGUACUGUAGAGGGGGUAGAAUUUCAGGUGUAGCGGUGAAAUGCGUAGAGAUCUGAAGGAAUACCGGUGGCGAAGGCGGCCCCCUGGACAGAUACUGACACUCAGAUGCGAAAGCGUGGGAGCAAACAGGAUUAGAUACCCCUGGUAGACUGUCA